rnacentral:rRNA from 1 species
UUUAUUUACCUUGUUGCUUCGGCGAGCCUGCCUUUUGGCUGCCGGGGGACGUCAGUCCCCGGGUCCGUGCUCGCCGGAGACACCUUAGAACUCUGUCUGAAGAUUGUAGUCUGAGAUUAAAUAUAAAUUAUUUAAAACUUUCAACAACGGAUCUCUUGGUUCCGGCAUCGAUGAAGAACGCAGCGAAAUGCGAUACGUAAUGUGAAUUGCAGAAUUCAGUGAAUCAUCGAGUCUUUGAACGCACAUUGCGCCCUCUGGUAUUCCGGAGGGCAUGCCUGUCCGAGCGUCAUUGCUGCCCUCAAGCACGGCUUGUGUGUUGGGCCCCGUCCUCCUUCCGGGGGACGGGUCCGAAAGGCAGCGGCGGCACCGCGUCCGGUCCUCAAGCGUAUGGGGCUUUGUCACUCGCUUUGUAGGCCUGGCCGGCGCUUGCCGAUCAACCAAACUUUUUAUCAGGUUGACCUCGGAUCAGGUAGGGAUACCCGCUGAACUUAAGCAUAUAU